rnacentral:rRNA from 1 species
CCUACGGGGAGCAGCAGUCGAGAAUCAUUCACAAUGGGGGAAACCCUGAUGGUGCGACGCCGCGUGGGGGAAUGAAGGUCUUCGGAUUGUAAACCCCUGUCAUGUGGGAGCAAAUUAAAAAGAUCGUACCACAAGAGGAAGAGACGGCUAACUCUGUGCCAGCAGCCGCGGUAAUACAGAGGUCUCAAGCGUUGUUCGGAAUCACUGGGCGUAAAGCGUGCGUAGGCUGUUUCGUAAGUCGUGUGUGAAAGGCGCGGGCUCAACCCGCGGACGGCACAUGAUACUGCGAGACUAGAGUAAGGGAGGGGGAACCGGAAUUCUCGGUGUAGCAGUGAAAUGCGUAGAUAUCGAGAGGAACACUCGUGGCGAAGGCGGGUUCCUGGACAUUAACUGACGCUGAGGCACGAAGGCCAGGGGAGCGAAAGGGAUUAGAUACCCUGGUAGUC